rnacentral:lncRNA from 1 species
UGCCGUAGUUGAUGCUGACCCAGGCGCCCGAGCAGCCGCUCAACAGGUUCUCGCACACGAUGCUCACGCAGUAGGUGGCGCUGGAGCUGAUGCCGUAUGCCAACGAGGGGUUGGAGGACUUGCUUGUCGAGCCGAGUGUGCUGCCACUGCAGGACGUGCCAGACCGGACCUUGAUGGAGAGGUUGUCAUUUGUGGAUGACCGGGCCGAGACGUCCAGUGCCUUGGCGCCGUUCACAUCGCAUCUGUGCGUGCGCGGCGGGCACAGCAGUGGCGCAUGUGCGAGUCGGUGCGGUGGCGCGCGGUUUCAGUUGACAUGCAUGUCGCAUGCGCAUGUUGAGGACGAGUUUGUGACUUUGAAGGAGUGUCAUGCUGUCACCUUUGUGCUUAGUAACGUUUCUUAGUAACCCCUGAAUCCAUGCGUGGCAGCAGGUGACACUCACGUGAAGUCGCGCUGGCCAAAGUAGUUGAUGAUGGGGACGAAGUAGUUGUCGUAGAUGCAGCCGCCCCGGUCGCCGGGGGGCGGUGGGGGCGGCAAGCGCGGAGGCGGCGGAGGCGGCGGAGACCGCGGCCUGCAUGUAUGAAAUACAUGGUGUCGAGUGCGCCGCAAGCAAGGGUAAGGUACAUGCACGAUGAGGAGAUACCGCAACAUUAAUGGGGAUGUUACCUAAUGAAGAGAAUUCCGUUCUUGCUCAAGUUGUGUUGGCUUACAGGCAGGGGAUAGCUGAUUAGCUGGCAUCAGGUUUCUAGCUAGGCAGCCCGGAUAAGCAAGGCUAGUAGGCCGCCAGCAAGUACACCAGCGAAUCAGCCCUACGUUAGACCCAUAAGGUUUGGCUAGAAGGCGCAAGAGCUAUGGAGAUAGGCAGCAGGCAGCAGAGCAUGUGUGGAGUAAGCGAGUGUGUUAGUGUGUGCGCUACUCACGUGCCGUAGUUGAUGCUGACCCAGGCGCCCGAGCAGCCGCUCAACAGGUUCUCGCACACGAUGCUCACGCAGUAGGUGGCGCUGGAGCUGAUGCCGUAUGCCAACGAGGGGUUGGAGGACUUGCUUGUCGAGCCGAGUGUGCUGCCACUGCAGGACGUGCCAGACCGGACCUUGAUGGAGAGGUUGUCAUUUGUGGAUGACCGGGCCGAGACGUCCAGUGCCUUGGCGCCGUUCACAUCGCAUCUGUGCGUGCGCGGGCACAGCAACGGCACGUGUGAUUCGGUGCGGUGGCGCGCGGUUUCAGUUGACAUGCAUGUCGCAUGCGCAUGUUGGAGAACGAGCUUGUGACUUUGAAGGACUGGCAUGCUGUCAUCUUUGUGCUUAGUAACGUUCUUUUGUAACCCCUGGAUCCCGGACGCGCGCACGCAGCAAACACUCACGUGAAGUCGCGCUGGCCAAAGUAGUUGAUGGAGGGGACGAAGUAGUUGUCGUAGGUGCAGCCGCCCCGGUCGCCGGGGGGCGGUGGGGGCGGCAAGCGCGGAGGCGGCGGAGACCGCGGCCUGCAUGUAUGAAAUACAUGGUGUCGAGUGCGCCGCAAGCAAGGGUAAGGCACAUGCACGAUGAGAAGAUACCGCAACAUUAAUGAUGGGGAUGUUACCUAAUGAAGAGCACUCCGUCCUGGCUCUAGUUGUGUUGGCUUACAGGUAGGGGAUAGCUGAUUAGCUGGCAUCAGGUUUCUAGCUAGGCAGCCCAGGUAAGGCUAGUAGGCCAGCAAGUACACCAGCGAAUCAGCCCUACGUUAGACCCAUAAGGUUUGGCUAGAAGGCGCAAGAGCUAGCUAUGGAGAUAGGCAGCAGGCAGCAGAGCAUGUGUGGAGUAAGCGAGUGUGUUAGUGUGUGCGCUACUCACGUGCCGUAGUUGAUGCUGACCCAGGCGCCCGAGCAGCCGCUCAACAGGUUCUCGCACACAAUGCUCACGCAGUAGGUGGCGCUGGAGCUGAUGCCGUAUGCCAACGAGGGGUUGGAGGACUUGCUUGUCGAGCCGAGUGUGCUGCCACUGCAGGACGUGCCAGACCGGACCUUGAUGGAGAGGUUGUCAUUUGUGGAUGACCGGGCCGAGACGUCCAGUGCCUUGGCG